rnacentral:rRNA from 1 species
GAUGAACGCUGGCGGCGUGCCUAAUACAUGCCAGUCGAGCGAACAGACGAGGAGCUUGCUCCUCUGACGUUAGCGGCGGACGGGUGAGUAACACGUGGAUAACCUACCUAUAAGACUGGGAUAACUUCGGGAAACCGGAGCUAAUACCGGAUAAUAUAUUGAACCGCAUGGUUCAAUAGUGAAAGACGGUUUUGCUGUCACUUAUAGAUGGAUCCGCGCCGCAUUAGCUAGUUGGUAAGGUAACGGCUUACCAAGGCAACGAUGCGUAGCCGACCUGAGAGGGUGAUCGGCCACACUGGAACUGGGACACGGUCCAGACUCCUACGGGAGGCAGCAGUAGGGAAUCUUCCGCAAUGGGCGAAAGCCUGACGGAGCAACGCCGCGUGAGUGAUGAAGGUCUUCGGAUCGUAAAACUCUGUUAUUAGGGAAGAACAAAUGUGUAAGUAACUAUGCACGUCUUGACGGUACCUAAUCAGAAAGCCACGGCUAGCUACGUG